UACAGAGGGUGCGAGCGUUAAUCGGAAUUACUGGGCGUAAAGCGCACGUAGGUGGCGACGUAAGUCGGGUGUGAAAGCCCCGGGCUCAACCUGGGAAUUGCAUUCGAGACUGCAUUGCUGGAGUACGGAAGAGGAGGGCGGAAUUCCCGGUGUAGCGGUGAAAUGCGUAGAUAUCGGGAGGAACAUCAGUGGCGAAGGCGGCCCUCUGGUCCAGUACUGACACUCAAGUGCGAAAGCGUGGGGAGCAAACUGG
rnacentral:rRNA from 1 species